rnacentral:rRNA from 1 species
GUCUAUUUGAGGUUAUAAAUAGUCUGGCCUGCUCACUGAUAAUUUAAUUUAAGAGCCGCGGUAUUUUGACCGUGCAAAGGUAGCAUAAUCAUUAGGGAUUUAAUUGGGACCUGGUAUGAAUGGUUGGACAAAGAAAAAGCUGUCUUUAUUUUAAAAUUUGAAUUUUACUUUUAAGUGAGAAGGCUUAAAUAAAUCAAAGGGACGAUAAGACCCUAUAAAGCUUUAUAAAUUAUUUAAAUUUAACUGAUUUAAUAUAUAAAAGUUAAGUUUAAUUAUUUUGUUUUGUUGGGGUGACAUGAGUAUAAAUUAUAUUAACUGCUUAAUUAUAAUACAUAUUAUGUGAAUAAAAGUUUAAAUGAUCCUUUAUAAAGAUUUAAAGACUAAGUUACUUUAGGGAUAACAGCGUUAUUUCUUUUGAGAGUUCAUAUCGAAAAAGAAGAUUGCGACCUCGAUGUUGAAUUAAAAUAUCUAUAUAAUGCAGGUGUUAUAAAAGAGGG